rnacentral:rRNA from 1 species
UGGGGAAUAUUGGACAAUGGGCGAAAGCCUGAUCCAGCCAUGCCGCGUGAGUGAUGAAGGCCCUAGGGUUGUAAAGCUCUUUCAGUGGGGAAGAUAAUGACGGUACCCACAGAAGAAGCCCCGGCUAACUUCGUGCCAGCAGCCGCGGUAAUACGAAGGGGGCUAGCGUUGUUCGGAUUUACUGGGCGUAAAGCGCACGUAGGCGGAUCGUUAAGUCGGGGGUGAAAUCCCGGGGCUCAACCCCGGAACUGCCUUCGAUACUGGCGAUCUCGAGUCCGGAAGAGGUGAGUGGAACUCCUAGUGUAGAGGUGGAAUUCGUAGAUAUUAGGAAGAACACCAGUGGCGAAGGCGGCUCACUGGUCCGGUACUGACGCUGAGGUGCGAAAGCGUUGGGAGCAAACA